GUUUUAAUAGUUAAUAAUAAUAAUAAUUUUGUAAAUUAUAGUUGAAUAUUUAUUCUUAAAACU
rnacentral:tRNA from 1 species